rnacentral:rRNA from 1 species
CAGGUUGAUAGGUCAGAGGUGGAAGCGUGGCGACAUGUGGAGCUGACUGAUACUAAUCGAUCGAGGACUUAACCAAA